UUUGGCUGUUUCAUCUCACCAACAAUACCAAAUGGCCUGUGAGGAGUGCUACACAAACAAGCAUAACACGGAAGUCAGAGAAAGAGAUGCCCUACUCCAAGAACACCAGGAGCUCUUGGACAGUUCCGAUGUCCACGAUGAGGCCUCACCACCACCACUCAACGGCCUCAUCAGACUGGGCUACCAGACAGCAAAUGUCUUCAAAAGGGUGGAAGGAGGCGAGGCCAUAUCUCAUUGAUAACUGGCUGGCAGUAGAGGAUCAUCACCCAGAUGUCAACAGUGCAGUACCAACCCAGCUGCCGUGCGCGGUAGAAAUUGCCUUCCGUGCCCCUUCUUCUGCGCCAAUUGUGACAGAGCCAGGCAUUCCAUUUUUGUGGUCCACAAUCGGGAUGCCAUAGUUAAAGGCUUCCUACAGCCACUGCCUCGCAAUGCAGGCAUCACAGUGGUUGACGGCAGCCCUUCUCCAAACCAAUUUUUUACUGUUUUAAAGAUCACUUAUUUUAUUUGCCUUACUUGCCAUGUUGAAUAACCUUUUUUGUUAAUUGUAUUCUGAUAUCUGAUGUUUUUAUUUAGCAGGUAUUCUGCCUGUAGAGAUACUGCAAGAUUUUGACUUGUGUCCACAACAGGCAUCUAGGGCUUGUCCUGGCAGGUCUGUUAGACUUAUAACCAUGAGUGGUCAUUCGAAUUUGGCAUUGCCAGUGCUCCAUUGUGAGAACUGCAAGGAGACUGGCACAGCAGGCAUCAAAGACCUGCAAAGGAGUGGCUAUUGACCUGCUGCUGUCUUCUCAACAGACGUGAUGUCUUCAUAUGAAGAGCUGAAGAUGCUUGCGCCAGGCAUGCCACAUCAAGCAUUUUUGACAAUGCUUGACCAGAGGACAGUACGUUUUGGCAGAAUGUCAGGCUAGUCAAGGCUGAGGUCCUGAAUGUCCCAAUGGAGAAGUGCAGACAGAAAUCAGAGCUCAGCCAUUUACUCAUGGACCUGAAAAAGGAACACAUCAGCGCGAUGGACAGGAGUUUGACAAGUGAACACUCCUUCUGUAGACGAGUUCAGACAGGGAACUGAGAACUCCCAGAAAACUCUGGUGGACAUCAGGACGUAUCAUCAAGCCUGUCGAGAGAUGGAGAUUGAGAGAACUGACAUACUGACACCGCAGUCUGCUAGCCAGUCCCAGUUAGGCGGAGUACGUACAGGCCUUAGUCAGCUCCGCUAUGUCCUGGGGGAGGUGAAGGACAUCCAGAACUCCCCGGUAGACAUCAGCAAAGACUGGAGGCAAAGCAUAAACAUCAUUGAAUCCUGAAGGAUGUACAAUAUACUGGGAUGCAACACAGUCAGAUUGCUUCAGCUGUGGAGAACCUGAAGAAUAUAUUUUCAGUGCCUGAGAUGGUGGCAUACACACCUGAUAGAGCCAGCCAAGCUGCUGGAGGACCACCACAAGCUGAUGAACAUGGAGGGCUCAUGGACUGACUCGUGUACGAUUGUUACGGAUACAAGUAUUCUGUGUGUAUCCUGUGUGUAUUUCUUUUCUCUCCUACUCCCCUACUCACAGGUGACAAUCAUCAUUCCCCAAUCAGUCAUCAAUCAGUCGCUAAUCAGAAGACACCUGCUCCUUUUUUCCUACCCAAUCACAGUCCCUUUCCCUUGGUUUAAAACCCUGUCAGUUGUUUUCUCUGGAGCUUGAUCUCUUUGUGUAGCCAUCUCUCUGUAAAUGCCAUAUGUUUGUAGAUCUCUUGUGUGGUUUAGCAUCUACAUGUCACUUUGUCCCCACCUGUGAGUAUUGUGUUUGUUAUGGUGUUUGUUUGAUAGUGGGAAAAGGGGGUAACCAGACAGGUUGCCCAUUGGCAUACACUACCCGUAGGUAAACUAUGUUAAAUACACUAGUUAGAACUGGGCGGACCACCCACUGUAUUUUUGGUUAGUUAGUUAGCUGUUGUUGAAAUAGGCUAGUCUAG